UACGUAGGUCCCGAACGUUGCGCGAAUUUACUGGGCGUAAAGGGUCCGUAGGCGGUUUAGCAAGUGGUUGGUGAAAUUUCACGGCUCAACCGUGAAACUGCCUUCCAAACUGCUAAACUUGAGGCAGGGAGAGGUCGGCGGAAUUGCCGGUGCAGCGGUGAAAUGCGUAGAUAGCGGGAGGAACACCAGUGGCGAAGGCGGCCGACUGGAACUGUCCUGACGCUGAGGGACGAAAGCUAGGGGAGCAAACCGG
rnacentral:rRNA from 1 species